GAUGAAGAACGCAGCGAAAUGCGAUACUUGGUGUGAAUUGCAGAAUCCCGUGAACCAUCGAAUCUUUGAACGCAAGUUGCGCCCGAAGCCACUAGGCCGAGGGCACGCCUGCCUGGGCGUCACACGCCGUUGCCCCCCCAUCUACUCCUUCGGGAUUGCGGGGGGGCGGAUGAUGGCCUCCCGUGCGCCUAGCCGCGCGGUUGGCAUAAAUACCAAGUCCUCGGCGACGCACGCCACGCCAAUCGGUGGUUGCGAAACCUCGGUUGCCCGUCGUGUGCGUUCGUCGCGCAUCGAGGGCUCGAAAAAAUGCUCGGCUCCGGCUGGGCUUUCAACGCGACCCCAGGUCAGGCGGGGUUACCCGCUGAAUUUAAGCAUAUCAAUAAGCGGAGGA
rnacentral:misc_RNA from 1 species